ACCUACGGGUGGCUGCAGUCGAGGAUCUUCGGCAAUGGGCGCAAGCCUGACCGAGCGACGCCGCGUGUGCGAUGAAGGCCUUCGGGUUGUAAAGCACUGUCGAGGGGGAGGAAGCCGAAAGGUUGACCUAUCCCUGGAGGAAGCACGGGCUAAGUUCGUGCCAGCAGCCGCGGUAAGACGAACCGUGCGAACGUUGUUCGGAAUCACUGGGCUUAAAGGGCGCGUAGGCGGAUCAGCAAGUCCGGGGUGAAAUCUUUCGGCUUAACCGGAAAAGUGCCUUGGAUACUGCUGAUCUAGAGGGAGGUAGGGGCAUGUGGAACUUCUGGUGGAGCGGUGAAAUGCGUUGAUAUCAGAAGGAACGCCGGUGGCGAAAGCGACGUGCUGGCCCUCUUCUGACGCUGAGGCGCGAAAGCUAGGGGAGCAAACGGGAUUAGAUACCCCGGUAGUC
rnacentral:rRNA from 1 species